AUGAGUUGUCUUGGACCAGUGUCUGCCGGCAGCACCCCCGCCGUUGUGCGGCCGACUACCGGCGCCUGUGUCCUAUCAGCAUUGCAUGGACGGCUUAUACUUGCUGCCUUACGGAAGAGUGCUUGCAUCAUGGUCCCUGACCAAUGGGAAGUGGUGCCUCGUACAAAGUUGCCUCGCGGUGGACGCCCGUUGGCGUGCUGCUGCGGCCAAAUUGCGGUGGCGGCGUUGCCUCGUGGUGCCAGCACGCUACGUGCCUGGCCCUACCUAGGAAACCUCGCUCCCGCUCUUGGUCUCGGAUGUCGCUCAUUAUAAAGGCUCGUGGCCCUUUGGCGCCGCGUCCCAAUGGGAAGCUCACUCAAUAGACGACAGCUGCUCUGUUUGUGGCCGUUGCCAUGCCAUGCAUGUGGCUGGCACGUGCGGCUCUCGGUGUCGGCUUGUCGACGAGGACGUGCU
rnacentral:misc_RNA from 1 species